GAUUUCCCUAGUAACGGCGAGUGAAGAGGAAAGAGCUCAAAGUUGGAACCUGUUUGGCUUAGCUAAACCGGAUUGUAAACUGUAGAAACAUUUUCCAGAUACACUAGACAAAAAAGUCCUUUGGAACAGGGCAUCAUAGAGGGUGAGAAUCCCGUCUUUGGUCUAAGUAGUUGUCUAUUGUGAUAUGUUUUCAAAGAGUCAGGUUGUUUGGGAAUGCAGCCUAAAUUGGGUGGUAAAUCUCACCUAAAGCUAAAUAUUUGCGAGAGACCGAUAGCGAACAAGUACCGUGAGGGAAAGAUGAAAAGAACUUUGAAAAGAGAGUUAAACAGUAUGUGAAAUUGUUAAAAGGGAACCGUUUGGAGCCAGAUUGGCUUGAUUGUAAUCAACCUAGAAUUCGUUUUGGGUGCACUUGCAGUCUAUGCCUGCCAACGACAGUUUGAUUUGGAGGAAAAAAUUAAUAGGAAUGUGGCCUUUCGAGGUGUUAUAGCCUAUUAUCAUACUCUGGAUUGGACUGAGGAACGCAGUGAAUGCCUUUAGGCAAGAUUGCUGGGCGCUUUCGCUAAUAAAUGUUAGAAUUUCUGCUUCGGGUGGUGCUAAUGUUUAAAGGAGGAACUCGUUUAGUAUAUUUUUUAUUCGCUUAGGU
rnacentral:rRNA from 1 species